rnacentral:rRNA from 1 species
AGAGUUUGAUCAUGGCUCAGAUUGAACGCUGGCGGCAUGCCUAACACAUGCAAGUCGAACGGUAACAGGCCUUCGGGCGCUGACGAGUGGCGGACGGGUGAGGAAUGCGUAGGAAUCUACCCAGUAGCGGGGGACAACUUAGGGAAACUUAAGCUAAUACCGCAUACGCCCUACGGGGGAAAGCAGGGGAUCUUCGGACCUUGCACUAUUGGAUGAGCCUACGUCGGAUUAGUUAGUUGGUAGGGUAAAAGCCUACCAAGGCGACGAUCCGUAGCUGGUCUGAGAGGACGAUCAGCCACACUGGGACUGAGACACGGCCCAGACUCCUACGGGAGGCAGCAGUGGGGAAUAUUGGACAAUGGGGGCAACCCUGAUCCAGCAAUGCCGCGUGUGUGAAGAAGGCCUGCGGGUUGUAAAGCACUUUCGGUAGGGACGAAAAGCUGAGGGCUAAUAUCCUUCAGUCUUGACUUAACCUAAA